rnacentral:misc_RNA from 1 species
UCGAAUUACCGGUUAGGGUUGUAGCUGGCCUUCCGAGGCAUGUGCACGCCCUGCUCAUCCACUCUACACCUGUGCACUUACUGUGGGUAUCAGAUCGUGAAGCGUGCUCUUUUACCGGAGCUUGUGAAGCGUGUCUGUGCCUGCGUUUAUCACAAACACUAUAAAGUAUCAGAAUGUGUAUUACGAUGUAACGCAUCUAUAUA